rnacentral:rRNA from 1 species
UACGAAGGGGGCUAGCGUUGUUCGGAUUUACUGGGCGUAAAGCGCAUGUAGGCGGGUCGUUAAGUUGGGGGUGAAAUCCCGAGGCUCAACCUCGGAACUGCCUUCAAAACUGUUGACCUGGACCCAAGUAGAGGCGAGUGGAAUUCCGAGUGUAGAGGUGAAAUUCGUAGAGAUUAGGAGGAACACCAGUGGCGAAGGCGACUCGCUGGACUUGUGGUGACGCUGAGAUGCGAAAGCGUGGGGAGCAAACAGG